GCCCCGGUAGCCCAAUUUGGCAGCAGGCAAUGGAUUCAAAACCCAUACAGUGUCGGUUCGAGUCCGACCCGGGGCACCA
rnacentral:tRNA from 2 species